AUGGGCUGUUCAACAAUUAACCAGGUGAGCACGCAUUACCCCAGGGGGCUUCCCAUCUGCCAGCUGGAGACCCACUUGCUUUCACUACACAGGGUCAUCUGUCUUGAUUUUCUGGAUUUCCUGUGCAUGCUAAAUGAGGCAGAAUUUCAGGUUAUCGGAAACUACAAGGAUGGGGUGGUAUCUAAGUUGUUGAAGUCGAAAACCUAUUUAAUGUGUAGAGCCUCCAAUCUUUAUCCCAGUAGCCUGCCACUGGAAUAUGAGCUCCAAGAAGGUCGACCUCUGAAUCAUCUCACAGUCUGA
rnacentral:lncRNA from 1 species